GCGUAGCGUUGCCACCCAUCAAGGCGCAUUGUUGUUUGUUUACUAUUUGAUUCUAGCCGGGAACAGUCUUGUUAAAAAGGAAUACGCACAAUUCAGCAAUGGUUCCACCCAUUAAAAGCCUGGAUGAACCAUAGAAUAUCUGUAUAAUUCUGCAACGCGGAAUUUCUUACAACUGCGGCAUCUGGAAACCUUAUAUUUGGCAAUCAAGCCCCCACAGGCGAUGGUCUCUGCAUCGUUUACUUUUAUGGCUCUCGUCUUCGCUCUGCAGCUGGAAACCACACAAGAGACACGAGUUGGCCUGCAGAUGGCUCUCAGCUGGCGUUGGCGAGUGGAGCAGUACCAUGGACCAAUAAUCCCACCCAUUAGGAGCCCGACUGUACCAUGGACUAUAUGUACCCAAAAUUAUUCGAACUGAACUAGUUCUCGCGGCGGUUGGAGUCGCCCUCGCUGAUGCUGUUGGACACGUCCGGAUUGGUGCCAUUGGAGUCAGACUCGCUG